AACGUAAACAAACCGCCUUCAGGAUGGGGACAACAGACGGAAACGACUGCUAAUACCGAAUAAGUUCCAAGAGCCGCAUGGCCCAUGGAAGAAAAGGUGGCCUCUACCUGUAAGCUAUCGCCUGAAGAGGGGUUUGCGUCUGAUUAGCUGGUUGGAGGGGUAACGGCCCACCAAGGCGACGAUCAGUAGCCGGUCUGAGAGGAUGAACGGCCACACUGGAACUGAGACACGGUCCAG
rnacentral:rRNA from 1 species